GAGUGUUCCUGGCUGCUGCAAACUUUAUUAAAUAACAUGUAUUGCUAGUUUUUACUUAUGUAUUUGUUGUGCUUUUUUUUUUAUUUUCGUUAUAGUCACUAUGGCAAUCCAACGAGUGUCUGCAACCCUUGGCAAUUUAGUGAAAGACGUCUACAACAAGGAAGGCUGUAAUUUGCUGCAAAAAGCUUUGGGAAUGACGAAGCCUUGUGUGAAGCCUGUAGCCUUGGAGAAAGCGAUGAGUUCAAUUUCUCACAUACAGAAGAAGAAAUAUAAAUAUAUAUUUGCUUCAGUAUAUUAACACAGAGUUAAAGACAAUUUAGACAAAUACAUUAUCUGUAAAAUGUGUUCAUUAUGUG
rnacentral:lncRNA from 1 species